AUGGCAUGGGCUCCGUGGCGCCCGGUCUCAGCCUGGAGAGGCCUCGGCCCUGCACCAGGCGGUUUCCAAACGCCUUCGCACGCGGGUUGUCUCUCCACCUGCUUUCGUCCAUUUCUCUACUUUUACGCCCUGCUUUUGUCAUCUGCACAGAUUUUUAAAAUAGUACCUUCUGCAGAACGGAAUGUUUUUGUUUCUAUUCGUGGUUCUGGCAACAUUCCUCAGAAAGUCCUGACACCUGUACCUCUGCAGACCCUGCUGCUUCCUGGGGCGCCUCCCCCUAUCUGCGAGGUGCAGGCCACCCGGUGCACCUGGGGGAGCAGCCAAGCCCAGCCCCUCCGGGCCUGCUCCUCCCUUCCGGGCUGGCUGGGCAGGGCGCCUCACCAGAGACGUGCACCCUGGGACUGUUCUCAGGAGCACGUAAGGGGAGGCCGCAGGUCGGGGCACUGUCCUAAGCCGGCAUGUGAGCGCCCUGCACCUGACCCGAGACGCCCCCAGCCCUGCAGGUCCCUUACCUCGGCAAGGCCCCCGUGCCUCCCGCACGCAGCACCCAGGGCCGUGCGAACGGACAGCUGCUCUCCUCCCCUUGGCAGACGGCGGCCCCAGGCUCCACAGGUCCAGGAGCCCGCCGGGCCAGGUCGCAGCCAGGGUGACACGCUCCCUAGGGCGAGGUGCACCCGUGGGGAGAAUGGUGCCCAGCGCUCAGGGAGGGUGCCAGCAAGGCCUGUGUGGCCUGGACUGCCGGGUCCUGCUCCCACUCAGAGCCUCGCAGCCUCGCCUCCAGGAGAGCACAGCACAGCGCGGACGGGGAGCGUGUGGCGACCCCAGGAGUCCUUGGCUAAGAUCUGGCAGCUGCACGCACGUCCACCCCCAUGGACCCUCACCCCGUGCGGCGUGGCUGUCCUGCCCGCCCCUUCAGGAGCCGACCUGCAGCCUGGUGGGGCAGCCAGCGGCCUUGGGCCUCCAGCUGCACCCCCACCCCGGGGCAGCUGCUCGCUCCUUUCCACCCCACGCUGCAGGAAGUUCCGGGCACGAGUGGGCGACGAGGCUCUUGAUUCCAACUUCCUACACCAGCCCCGGAACAGAAGACGCUCUGUGCCGGCUCCUGACGGGGGCUGUUGGGAGAACGAGCCCCAGGAAGCUGCAAUCUGCUCCUGGUGCCCAGCAACAUGCGUCACUCUGCGCCCGGCGCCCCCGCCCAGCGUCCACGGCGUCCACAGCCACCACGGCGUCCACAGGCCAGCAGCCGCACCCGCAUGCUUCUCCCCCCUCACCAGGCACAAGCUCCAAGCCCCCUGCCCCCUCCAAGCCCGCCCGGAAUGA
rnacentral:lncRNA from 12 species